UCUGCUUGAGCUCCCACCAACGUCCUGCUUCCCCUACCAGCAUGUAGGAAGCAAGGGCAGCUCUCUGCUCAGGAACUACUCCCAAGGUCCUGAAAGCUCUCUCAGUCUCCGCCAGCCAGUACUAGGCCUCUUCAAAAGAUGAUCCCCCUGCAAAGGUGGAGGGGUUCAGUCUCCUGUACCUCUCUAUGUAGCCCGAGUCGAUCAAGGAAGGAGCGGGGUCCCGUGGAGGAGGGACUGGACCCGGCUGGGGAUAGACUGGGGGGUCCUGUGGUGGCACCUGCUGAUAUGCUGGGGGCACUGGGUCGUGCUGUGGCGGUGCCAGGUAGUACCGUGGCUGGGGCACCGGGUUGUACUGUGGCAGUGGUGCCGGGUGGUACUGUGGAAGAGCAGGCUCGUGCCGGGGUGGCUCGGGAUCAGCCUGCUGUAGCAGAGGCUUAACCUACGGUAGUGGAGGAGGGUUGGGUAACUCCCUUCUCUCCUCUCGCCCUUGCUGGGCAGCUAUGAAUCCUUCUAUCAUUUCAAAUAGCCUGUCUACAUCCUCCC
rnacentral:lncRNA from 1 species